rnacentral:lncRNA from 1 species
CAAUUCAGUAACUAAUCAACAGCUGGCAUUGUUAUUGUUUAUGUCCUACAAUUAACGAAAAAGAAAACAGUUAAAUAAUAACAAAACAAACUCAAAUAAAAAUAAACAAUUAAAAUAAAAAAAAUAUAUAAAAAAAAAUUACCGGGGACCGGUGGUCUAGGGGAAUUCUCAUUGAACUAAACUAUAUUUCAAUCCUCGCCGCUUCCUAGUGGACAUGGCUAAACCAAAUCUGCAAUGAUAAGUACAAAAAAUGAUAUUAGUGGUAACCAACACAGUAGAGAAGGCCGCCGGCUCAUGCCUGACCAAAGAGUGACUUUUUCUACUUGGUUGUAAACGAGUUUAUAAUUGUUGUAAGUGGAUUCAGAACAACAAAAGUCAGCCUAGUACUUGAAAUGGUAUCGAUCCCUGAUGCUGCGCAGGGCUGCGCAGCCUCCAGGUUUAGGCUUGUUCAUCAACAAAAGACCAUUGGACCGUGGAAUAUGAAUUCAAUGGGAUAUUAUUAUGAUUCAUAACUCCAAUUAAAACGGCUUUAAGCAUUUUGUAAUAAAAAAACAAGCAUACAGCCCAUAGGGUGAACCCAUAUGCCCAUGCGAGGGUUCACCAACCACGCUGCGCAGCCCAACCACGUCUUCAAUAAUUCCCAUUGGUCUGGCUUGGUUUUAUUGAUUCUUUUUAAGAAAUUCAAGCAUAAUCUAUUGAAUUGCUCGCGUAAUAUUCGGCCGAACAAUAGAUUAAUAUACAAUGAAAAAAAAAAUUUUUUAGCCGUCAAAAAAUUCGGUUUCGCGGCUGAUGAAGACUUCAGUUGCAGAAACUGUUGCCACUGGAAAAUAUACAAAUUAUUUAAAUUUUUACGUAAAUGUUUCAGAUACAAGAUGACAGAGAGCGACUAAUAUUAUUAUUUAUAUUAAUAUCCGAGAUACUUGAGUAAAAGUUUUGCGGAAUUGAAGGUGGAUGAAAAGCAUGUGGCAUGCACGUGGAAUAGCCAAGUGGGAGACUUUAUGAGAGCAAAAUAUAAUAGACGGGAAAUAUGAUCCCGUGGAUUAUAAAGCAACAGACAAGUAUAAAAGCUGUCAUAAUCAAUCAUUUUAGUUGGAUGGAUGGCUUGUACCUGAGACGAGGAGACCCGUAAACAAACGGCUACGUACCAUGGUUAUGAUGAAGAUGAUGAUGAUGAUGAUGAACCGGAACCACCGAAUUAUUUUUAUUGAAAUAAUUUUUUUUUUAACUUUAUUCUAUUAUGCAAGACAGUUAUAAGUGUAGGAUGUUGUUUAUUCAACGAUUCAAUCCGUACUAUAAGUUCUAUUGUUGAAGUAAGAAUCACCAAACAGGCUGCGCAGGCUAUCACCGCUAAGGUUCGAAUUGGACUGCGCAGCGUCCUGACCAGGAUUGAAAGCUAGACUUCUACAAGUCAUAUCGUGAUUUUCAAUAGAGGGAUUUAACAAUAGUGUUAUAUCGAUCGAUUAAAUGCAUAAAAAAAAUUAAAAAUAUUUUUUUUUUCGCGAAAAAAAAUUUUUUUUCGAAAAAUUUUUUUUUCCAGAAACGGACGAUUUCGAUUGAGUUCCAAAGAUUUUUGGUAAGGUUUUAAUAGUUUUUCAUUUAAGAAGUUAAUAAAUACAUUU